GGAUUAGUUCAGUUGGUUAGAGCGCCAGUUUGUGGCACUGGAGGUCGUGGGUUCGAAUCCCACAU
rnacentral:tRNA from 1 species